rnacentral:rRNA from 1 species
UACGGAGGGUGCGAGCGUUGUCCGGAAUCACUGGGCGUAAAGGGCGCGUAGGCGGCGCGGGAAGUCCGUGGUGAAAGCCCGAGGCUCAACUUCGGGUCGGCCAUGGAUACUCCUGGGCUUGAGCACUGUAGAGGCAGGUGGAAUUCCUGGUGUAGCGGUGGAAUGCGCAGAUAUCAGGAAGAACACCCGUGGCGAAGGCGGCUCUCUGGAACGCAACUGACGCUAAGACGCGAAAGCGUGGGGAGCAAACAGG